CCUUGAUAUUCCUUGUGAGGACAUGGGUGA
rnacentral:piRNA from 1 species